rnacentral:rRNA from 1 species
GACGAACGCUGGCGGCGUGCUUAACACAUGCCAGUCGAACGGAAAGGCCCUGCUUUUGUGGGGUGCUCGAGUGGCGAACGGGUGAGUAACACGUGAGUAACCUGCCCUUGACUUUGGGAUAACUUCAGGAAACUGGGGCUAAUACCGGAUAGGAGCUCCUGCUGCAUGGUGGGGGUUGGAAAGUUUCGGCGGUUGGGGAUGGACUCGCGGCUUAUCAGCUUGUUGGUGGGGUAGUGGCUUACCAAGGCUUUGACGGGUAGCCGGCCUGAGAGGGUGACCGGCCACAUUGGGACUGAGAUACGGCCGAGACUCCUACGGGAGGCAGCAGUGGGGAAUAUUGAACAAUGGGCGGAAGACUGAUGCAGCAACGCCGAGAGCGGGAUGACGGACUUAGGGUUGUAAACCGCUUUCGCCUGUGACGAAGCGUGAGUGACGGUAAUGGGUAAAGAAGAACCGGCUAACUACGUG